rnacentral:rRNA from 1 species
UCGGGAAUAUUGCGCAAUGGAGGAAACUCUGACGCAGUGACGCCGCGUAUAGGAAGAAGGUUUUCGGAUUGUAAACUAUUGUCGUUAGGGAAGAGAAAGGACAGUACCUAAGGAGGAAGCUCCGGCUAACUACGUGCCAGCAGCCGCGGUAAUACGUAGAGAGCGAGCGUUAUCCGGAAUUAUUGGGUGUAAAGGGUGCGUAGACGGGAGAACAAGUUAGUUGUGAAAUACCUCGGCUCAACUGAGGAACUGCAACUAAAACUGUACUUCUUGAGUGCAGGAGAGGUAAGUGGAAUUCCUAGUGUAGCGGUGAAAUGCGUAGAUAUUAGGAGGAACACCAGUGGCGAAGGCGACUUACUGGACUGUAAACUGACGUUGAGGCACGAAAAGUGUGGGGAGCAAAACAGGAUUAGAUACC